GUUUGUUCUUGUAAUUUUUGGGUGUCAUUUGAGCCAAAGCAUAUUGGCACUCAAAUUGUUGCUUGUAUUCUGGUCAAGGCACUGAUGGCAAUGCCUGCUCUCGAUUUCAACCUUUGUCUCUUCCUAAUUCCAGAAAUAGUGGUUCAUCGAGAUGAUUUAAUGCUGAAUGUGAAACUUCGGCUGUUUGUUCUUAUUGCAAAGCAACCAGCCUUCCACCAGCUUAGAUCAGUUGAGCAACUUGGUUACAUAACUGCUC